AUUUCCUCCAGGCCUCACGGCCUCUCGGUCGCCCCUCUCCACUUCCGGCGCGGGACCCCCGCCCCCGUCCUCGCGCACCCCACACGCACGCAGUUUCGAGCCUUCCGGGGGCUGAGUCACUCAAGUCCCGAGAAUUACCGCAGUGACCUCGAGCAGCCUGGGCGCAGCUCCGGGUGGUCUCAGGGUCCGCGCCCCCGCCCGGCCACCCCGCCCGCUCCCUGGCGUCCAAUCCGUCGCUGAGUUCCAAGCCACGCCCUGAUCCGACUGGGCUCCUACAGCCGGGACCCCCGCCCCGCCUCCGUUUCUUGAGCGCUCAGCUACCGCGCGCAGCGGCCUCCGGUGCCCCUCGGACCUCUCCGGCCCCAGGACCGGAUCGGGGACGUGGAGCUCCGGGAGGGCCGGGCCGGUGUGACUCAGCCUGGUGCCCGGGUUCAGCCCCUACUGCCUGUAGGUGCUCAAGCAUGUUUGGGGAUGAAAGCGGGCCUUGGUGUCUCUGGUGGGUAAAUGGGGCCAAAGGAUGCUACCCUCACCCAUCUCUCCCAUCACCCUCCCCUGGCAAAGAAAGACAUUCAAGGGUAUAAAGAACACAGUUUAUUCUGAGGCCAUCAUACCCCAGGUACCACGUGGAUGUUGAGUUUGGGCUGCCCACUCCCAAGUGCUGGUCACCUGAGGUCAGCUAAGAAGACAGGCAGAGGUAGGGGAGUGGCCACAACCAAAGUAGCAAAAGGCACCCCUGUUCUCGGGGUCAGAGACUAGAGUGGAUGUCAAGAAUCCCAUGACCUAUAUUGACCCUGAGCAUUGACCCUGACUAACCUCUCUGAACCUGAGUGGCCCUGAUGCUUGGCAGUGACCGGUGUCCAGUUGAGGGAUCCUGAUAGAUUGCCUCCAAAAGGGUUUUAGUACCUGAGGCCAUGUAGUCUUUCCUUACAGGAACUCUCCAGACACCCCAGCUGAACAAACACCUUCUGAGUCCUUUCCCCCUUGGUCAGAAUGCUGGGAUGGUCAGAGAUGGUCCUCGACUUCCUCAGGUUGGGAGUCUGGGCAGCAGGUGGCCUUGGGCACAGCCUCGCUGUGUAGCUUGGAGAGUAGCCGGGCUGUCUCUUGGGUGAUCUCAAAAUGCUUGGGCAGCGGGGUGCGGCGCAGAGGGCUGCCCUCAGGGGAGGAGGCGGUAGGGCCAGGUCCCCUCCUCCGCAAGCUUCCUCGGGGCACUGAUGUCACAAGGGUCUCCUCGCACAAUUUGGAAGCCACCAGGGCCAAGCUGGACAGCUGGUGGGUGACUGGCCGAACGCCGCCCCGGGGAUAUUUCACUGGCUGGCGGCUGAAGUGACCACGGGAUUGUGUUCCCAGGAGUGAGUCCUCUGGACCUUGGCUGGACACUGUGGGUUGGGGUGGUCAGUGCUGAGCAUCCCUAAGUCCUCAGGGUAUCUCCUGGGAGUCAUCUCUCAGCUAAGCCACCCCAAGCAAGGAUAUCCCUAUAACUCCUGGGCUCCCCCCUACUUACUCACCUUCCUCUCCUUCCUCUUUGGUGUCAUCAGCCACUUCUCCGUCGUCACUCUGUGGAACUGGAAUCUACAGGAACAAACCGAAGACCAAAACCCCAACAAUAAAAUUCCAGUUCUUUGAGA